rnacentral:rRNA from 1 species
UAGGGAAUCUUCGGCAAUGGACGAAAGUCUGACCGAGCAACGCCGCGUGAGUGAAGAAGGUUUUCGGAUCGUAAAACUCUGUUGUUAGAGAAGAACAAGGACGUUAGUAACUGAACGUCCCCUGACGGUAUCUAACCAGAAAGCCACGGCUAACUACGUGCCAGCAGACGCGGUAAUACGUAGGUGGCAAGCGUUGUCCGGAUUUAUUGGGCGUAAAGCGAGCGCAGGCGGUUUCUUAAGUCUGAUGUGAAAGCCCCCGGCUCAACCGGGGAGGGUCAUUGGAAACUGGGAGACUUGAGUGCAGAAGAGGAGAGUGGAAUUCCAUGUGUAGCGGUGAAAUGCGUAGAUAUAUGGAGGAACACCAGUGGCGAAGGCGGCUCUCUGGUCUGUAACUGACGCUCAGGUGCGAAAGCGUGGGGAGCAAACAGG